GGGCUGUAAUCAAAUAUUUUUGUGUCGUGCAAGUUUCUUAUUCAAACUGUCUGUAGUUGUUUACUCUUUCGAAUUGAUAAUUGAUUUCAAACGAGGGAAUGGGAUCCAAAAUAAUUUCGGAAGCCAACGCUUUCGUUAAAUUUCUCAAGUUGUGUCAAGAUGAAAGUAAAGAAAACUCCACCUUUACGGAUGAUAUUUCAGUCCUGCUGGUGCAGAAUGAGGAACUUUUGCACAACAUAAUCAAUGGAAACCAGUCUAUCUUUAUCUGUGAGAAAGCACAACCAAAGAUUGAACCAGAAGCUGUUGAAGUUACAGAUGACACCAGUGUUGUUGAAGAAGUGCCUAUUCAAAUGCAUCAAGAUUCAAGUCCUCAGCCUCUCUCUGUCAUGAAAGCAAGACAGCUGUUGUCAUGGUACACCAUGGCUCAGAACCCUAACAUGCCUCUGGUGAAAGCCCCAGGGACUCUGCACCCUCUCUGGGUCCGAUGUGACAAGUCAGAUCCAUGUGGCACUGCCUGGCUCGGGGCAGAGACUAUCUACAAUGGGAACCAAACUACUGGAAUCAAACUGUUUACAGUGAGCUGCAAAGACCAAACAGGAGAUGAAGCCUCAUUUACCACCUUGGAUGACCUUAAACAAGAGCAUCAGAAAAGGCACCAUCCCUCUACAGUUCUGACCAAAGGCUGGGCCCAGUACAACCUGUUUUGCUCUAUGAAAGAGGAGAGCAUGGUGUUUGAGUCUCAGAGCAGUGUAAUAGCGACCCUCAAAUGGAACAACGUGGAUAAAAUCUUGGAGUAUCCUCCAUUGUCUUCAUUGGCUACUCUGAAUAUCAGAGUUGCAGUUGGAGACAUAAGGAGUCCAUUGUAUCAGACCCACCGAGAGAUGGAGUUCCUUCUGGCUUUGGCAGAAGGCUUGAGGACAGGAGAAAUUGAAUGGUUGGAUCCAAUGGAGACUCAGUCUGCUGUGGACUUAACCAGAGCUCUUGUAGAGGAGCUUGAGAACAUUGCACAUGGAGUGCCAGGACACAUGGCCAAAGUUUCUGAGAGCCAGAAGGCAAAGACAGAAGCAGCAGCUUUCAGCUCGAUGGUCAUUGAUAGAGGAGACCUGGACUUUACAGAACAACUGUGGGAGAAGAUGAGGAGGAGUGUAUCUUCUUAUCAAGACAUAACAGACUGUCUGAAAAUUGUCAUCAAAGCAGUGAGACAUGGUCGAAUCAAACCAUGGAUCCACAAAGACAGCAGUAGCUCUCUCAGUAAGCUGAUCCUGCAGUCUUACCAGCAGCAGAUGGACACAGUGCCUCUCACUGGCCUCAUUCCUGCUAAUAUGCUGCUAGAGUUGGGCCUGGACAAGAUAAGGAAAGACUUCAUCAACUACCUCGUUGGAAAGGAACUUACAACUCUCAACUAUUUGAGUUACUACUUGGACGCUGAGGUGGAGCUGCAGGAGCAGGUGAUAAGAGUGAGGAAGCUGCACCACCUGCUGGAGAUCUUGGGCACCUGCAGCACUUUCCUCAAUCUGCCUCAUGAUCGCCUCUUCCUUUUCACUCAGUCCUGUUUGCAGUACUAUAAAACAGCCAACUAUGAUGAGGGCCAUGUGUUCCAACUUCAAAUUAAACCUGCACUCAUAAGCUACUUUUAUGAGAAGGAACAGCCAUUCUCUUGGGGCGUGGAGGUGGCUAGUGGACAGGGAUCAAGGGAGGUCAAGACAUCAUUGCAUCUUAGUGACAAGCCCUUGGUAGACCACAUCAGUUUUGACUUGGAUUUACCCCUGGAUGAGUCUGUGAGUGGAGAAAAUGAGAAGAUGGCUUACUACAGAACUAUAGUGAGCUGUAGUCUCAUCAGCUUCUCUUAACACACCGCUGGAGGGGCAAACAAAGAAAAAUCCUGUUAGACGCUAUGAUUCAGUCUCCAUUUCAGACCUCCAUCAAAGUCUUUGUCAAUCCGUCCUCAUGAUGGAUCUUCUCACAUGGACCCUCCUUUCAAGAAGCAACUUCAUAAUCUGUCCUAUUAGGAAGUAUUUAACUUGCCUGUUUAAUUUUGUGAUUAUGCCACCUUUA